AUUGAACGCUGGCGGCAGGCCUAACACAUGCAAGUCGAGCGAGCGGCGGACGGGUGAGUAAUGUAUGGGGACUGCCCGAUAGAGGGGGAUAACUACUGGAAACGGUGGCUAAUACCGCAUACUAUCGGAUAACCCAUAUGGGAUUAGCUAGUAGUUGGGGUAAAGGCUCACCUAGGCGACGCUCGCUAGCUGGUCUGAGAGGAUGAUCAGCAACACUGGGACGGAGACACGGCCCAGAAUCCUACGGAGGCAGCAGUGGGGAAUAUUGCACAAUGGGCGAAAGCCUGAUGCAGCCAUGCCGCGUGUAUGAAGAAGGCCUUAGGGUUGUAAAGUACUUUCAGCAAGGAGGCGUUACCAGAAGAAGAAGCACCGGCUAACUCCGUGCCAGCAGCCGCGGUAAUAC
rnacentral:rRNA from 1 species